AAUUUUGGACAAUGGGUGAAAGCCUGAUCCAGCAAUGCCGCGUGCAGGAUGUAGGCCUUCGGGUUGUAAACUGCUUUUGUACGGAACGAAAAGCUUUGGGUUAAUACCCUGGCGUCUUGACGGUACAGUAAGUAUAAGCACCGGCUCACUACGGUCCUGCAGCCGCGGUAAUACGUAAGGGUCAAGCGUUAAUCGGAAUUAAUGGGCGUAAAGCGUGCGCAGGCGGUUUUAUAAGACAGAGGUGAAAUCCCCGGGCUCAAACUGGGGACUGCCUUUGUGACUGCAAGGCUAGAGGACGGCAGAGGGGGGUGGAAUUCCGCGUGGAGCAGUGAAAUGCGUAGAUAUGCGGAGGAACACCGAUGGCGAAGGCAACCCCCUGGGCCUGUACUGACGCUCAUGCACGAAAGCGUGGGGAGCAAACA
rnacentral:rRNA from 1 species